AGGGCAGCUCCCAAGGCUGGAGCUGUGAGAGCCGCAGGGGCCAGCACGGUUUCUGUCACGGCACCGUUCAGCAGCUCUCAGAGCGGAAUAGCGAGAUUUAUUUGCCAUGCUGUGCUUUUAGCAAAACACACUGACCCCUAGAUGAGGACAAACGUUGCUUUCUCAUCGGAGCAGACACAGUUGGAAAGCUAGAACCAAAAUAUUUAUCAGUGACUAAAACUUUGGAUUCUUGCUUUCUGAGAGUUGGUCUCCAAACUACCUUUUUUGGAUGUUGAUCUUCUGUGGGAAAAUAAAAUCAUCUGGGAGAGCGGCAGCGCGUUUCAGCGCCGUGUUUCGGCGUGAGCCGCUCUGCGCCGGGGGGAAAACCGAACCCGCGCUGCCCUGAGCAACAUCCUCGCUCCGGUCUUGUGGGACCUCACAGCACUGAUGGGGAUUUGGCCCUUCUCCAGAGCUGAAAUCAGCCGUGUAGGCAGUAAGUGUGCGUGCGUGUGCAUUUGAGUGGGAUGUUCUCCGACUCCCACGGUUGGCUUUUCUCUCUGGAUGAAUACGUGCUGCAGAAUUUUUGCUCGAGCGGGUUUGCCAGGCACGUCCCCGGAUGGCAGACCGUUACCUGCAGCCUUACCCUGGGUGUGCCACAGCAGCCAGCGCCGCCGGAGAAGCCUUUUUAGUGAGGCUCAGUGUUUGAGAUGGCUGCUCCGCUGUGCUCGCAGCAGCUCGCCGCUGCUGAGCUAAUGGCCUCGUCUGGGAUUUUGCUGGAAUAACCCAUCACUCCUCCGUGGGCAUCGCCAGGCUGAGAGCAAAGAGAAAGGGUACAGAGAGGAGGAAGUACAUCAGGAAUAGCAGCUACUUUGUAGAUUUCGCUGCUUUUUGAUGUCUCCCUGGAAGCAGGAGUGCCUGCUCCUCCCCGCCUCUCCUUCCUCUGCUGCAGACCUGCUGUGCUCAUAAGCCAGCACAACUGGGCUCGUGGUCGCAAGGUGACGUGUUCAGGGAAAUGACUCCAGCUGCAGAACCACUGCCUUUUUGCCAUUAAGUUUCCAGCUGUGCCAGUUCCCCGGAGGGGGAUGAUGUCUUUGUGGCCUCUCCAUUGCUGCUCAUGGGGCAGCGCAGGGCCGGAGGGGUGCAGGACCUACUCUUCCACUCACAGCACUGGAUUUCUGCCUCCGAUAUUUGCCCAGCUCGAGCACCAGCCCCGAGAGCAUUUGCUCACUCUCUGUCUUUGUCCAUAUCACCGCUGCUUGCUGCAUCCAUCCUGGGAAGGACGCUCUCCAAAGCACGUGGAGCAAAUCGCCCUCUGCAGCUUGCCACCACCCAGCGAGGGCUGCAGGGGCUGGGGAGAGGAGAGGCUCUGCUGACUCCUGCUCUGACACUGCCGAGUGCAAGAGCUUUUAUUCUGUGUCUGCGUGGCCGAUGGCAGCAGGUCCGGUCACCGUUAAUCCCGCUGUUAUCACUACUUGAACUACGUGUAACUCGCAUCGCGAAUCGCAUCUCUUGUAUCUGCGUUCGGCGUUGAACUGCAAAAAUCAGGCAUUGUAUAACCACACAGGGCAGCGUGCGUGUGUGCGCACGCAUGUGUGAGUGCGCCUGGGCCCUCUGCGAAAACCCGAGGUGGAAAUUUGAUGUAGGAACCUGUCACGAGAACGUGCCCUCUGUGUGGGAGGGAGCGUGUUUGAUUGCCUGCCUAGAGCGGCUGCAUGGGCAGCCUUUGUUUCGGAAGUUAUGUAAGGAGAUUUGGAGUGCUGCUUAAGUGCUUGGCUGACUGGUUUGUCCUAGCAGAAGUGCCUGCGCUUUCUCCCGUUGCGCGAGCUCUCCGGAGACGCCUGGGAGCUCAGGAUGCAGAGCUGGAGCGUGUGGGCCUGCUGCUGCCUCUGAUGACGGGGAGAAGACCGGGUUCCCAUCUGCGCAUCGAUUGCGUCCUAGCCCUGUGCCGGGAGCUCCUGGAGAUGGACCCUUCUGCUCGACAUCAGGUGCUUGUAGGAAAAUCCGGGUGGGAAGGGACCUCGGGACGUCAUCCAGCCUGUGGCUGCACCACGUGCACCAGGAUGCUUCCGUCACUGCUCGUGCCUUUUCUCCAGACCCAUCCCUGGAGCUCCCGAAGCUGAGCGCCCCUCCUCCCCAAACGAUACCCAGUGAACUACUUUUCUCUCCUAAACUGUCACCCCCACACUGUCCGAAAUCUAGCCAGUGCUUCUGAGCACAUCAAGGACAAAGGCAGAGUUAUGAAUCCGCUCUAGCACAGAGAUAAGACUCAGUAUAAUUAGAAACUUUUUAUGUGAAGAAAUGAAUCAAAGCUCCUUCUACUCCUGGGACAUUUUAACUCUUCACAGCUUUUAUUAUUAGGUGCAAAACCAUUUGUUUUUUUUUCUCAGUUUCAGGCUAGAAAAGGAAGUAAGAAAGAAGUCCACGCUGAACUGACCCUGCAGAGCUGCUUGACCCCAUGGACAAACAAGUGCCAGCAGAGCAUGGGAGACAUCUGGGGGCACCUCGGGGCUGUCACACGGAGCACUGGAAAAUGGCUUUAAGGCUGGAAAGCUGAAAUGUCGUUCAGCCUUGUGAGUGGGCAGGGGAAAGGGGGCCGCUGGGUGUGACAGGAGCACAACCUGUGCCAUAAGCAGAGAGGUGUGUGAUUGCUGCGGGAUGCGGCACGGAGCAGGAAGACAGAAAAUUGUGCCCACGGUGCCACUUCUCUGCUCAGUCCAGUGCAAAGCCCCAAUCUUCAGCUGUCUGCAACUAGAGUUAAGUUGUUCUAAUUAAACUUUUCUAGGUAGGAAAAAAAAAUGAAAAGCAGUGAAGAACGGAAAGAUUUAGCUGUACCAAGAAAGGAAAUUUGGGUUCAAACUCAUGCAUUUACUGUCUUUCAAGUCCCGGUGAGCAGCUACAGCUCUUCCCCAGUCUGGGCCCAAAGAGGGAACCUCGGAUUUCAUUAGUUCCCCACUAAAUAUUCCUAUUGUCUUUAUUGUAGAUGGCCAGGGGGGUUGCCUUGACCAGACAGCCUCAGGUCUCGUUUGGGCCCCACGUGGUUUUGGCUGCGUUUAGCUGCUGCCUGCUGGUCAGUGCCCAUUGCGUGACCUGAGCUUGAGCUCUCUAACGAAACAUGCUAAAGGGUUGAUGAAGCCAGGCGUCUCUGUGUAGCAAACAACAGCCCUUUCUGUUAACCGAAGCUGGAGGAGGCUACUGGGCAACUUCCAAACUUCAGCUGGGAACCAGCAAGAAGGCAGUGUUACCAAAACACGCGGAAACGAAGCCAAGCAUGUGCAAGACUGAGGAGGAAGAAUUCACUGCUGGGAAUGGCAGACUCCCCUUGGCAGCGACUUCAGGGUGCCGAUGACUUGCUGUCACCCUGUGGUGCUCGAGGAAGACCUGAGCUCUCCAGUGUGAAGCUACCAAGGACAAAUUGUGCCUGCCCAGCCGAGUGAUUUGCCUCCUGUGAGGAGCUGACAGAUGAGAGCAGGGGAUAUCGCAUACCUGGGCUUCAGCAAGGCUUUGACAUGGCCUCGAUUUGUAAAAUACAGAUGGGAUAAAUGUCCAGAGGAGACCCAUGAAGAUGGUUGUGGGCUUAAGCAUAUGGGAAAUGGGGAGAGGCGUGAGGGGGGAUCUAAUUGCCGUCUCCUGCUACUUCAUGGAUACUCAGAGAGAGGAAGCCAAACUCGGUGCACACUGGAAAUGUGGCAGACAAUGGACACAAUUAGGAACAAGAGAAUUUCUGCUUGGUCUGAAGGAAAAAAUCUUCCCCGUUGGGGGGGUGAAACACUGGGAACGAGGCCAAAGAGGCGGUGGGAUCUCCAUCUUCAGAGGUAUUCAAAAGCACAAGGCUCUGAGUGAUGUAAUUCAGCUCUGCUCUGAUCCGUGGUUGAACGAGAGACCUCUGGGGUCCAUCCCAACCAAAACAUUUCUGUGAUUAUUGUAUCAGUGCACUUCGGCGGAAGAGGACAGUGGGAUGUGAUACAUCCCUCUUCUUUUUGAAAGCUGAGAUAUUGGAUAAGAACCUUCCCCUGUUAUGAGCACGCUGAGAGGGUUAAGACAAGAACUGAGAUCUUACGGGGUACCAGAAAUGAGAUAACUUAUCUUUGCCGGUGGCAAGCAAACUGUACUAUUCACGCUCUAAUUUCCUGGACAAGUUGUUUUUCUUUUGGGAACACCUGCUGCAUUCAGAGCACCGUGCAACGAGGGAAGGGGGUCUGGGCUUGGCAGGACCACAGCUGCGUUGGCAAUGUGAGCGCUGAAUUAAGUCUGGUGCUGCUGGAUGCCACAGGACUGCCUUCGGAGGGACAUGUCUAAGAGCAGGUUGCAGGAGGAGAAUACAUCUCGUGUCAGAGGGCACCACAAGAAUCUGCAACCUCUGUGAUAUUUCUGAGGCUUACUUCCCCGGGUGAUGAGAGCAAUAGAUAAGCGCAAGAGGAAGUAAAAGAUUCCCUAUUCAGAAGAGGGUUUGAUGUGUAGUAAACAAGCCCUGAGGCUGUACACUGAAUGAUGAAGAUAUAAACCACACUGAGUGGUGCAGAAACGCGGCACAAAACAAUGUAAUGUGUAGCUGUCCACAGAAGACUGGUUAAUCUGCCUGGAAAUAAAGACGUGGAGCACAGACAGUGCACCGCGGCGGUGUGAAAUCGGUGAGCUCUGCAGGUGCUGAGCUCCUUGCAGGAGCAAAUGCAGCUGGAUGAGAGGCAGGAUGGGCUGCUGGCACUCGGAGCAGGCUGGAUGUGAGCUCCUGGCUCAGAGAAGGGCUCGGGAGCUGGGAAGGAUCGGGGUCAGGAGGGUACAUAACAUUGCCUCUCCUUGGAAAAUGCAAAUCGCCCUCAGUGUGCCUGCGUCCUGUCAGGUUGGAUAAAGAUGCUUCAGGUUCACCCAAGGCCACUGUGCGAGGUGCUCUCUGCAUCUCCUCCACCCUCCCCACCACCCUUCUGUAUCGGGCCCUCCCAGCACAGCUGGAUUCAUCCUGGGACGACGGGACUGCGUGGCACGAUUCCGCCGGUACCCUGAGACAUGUGUGAAAAAUUACCCUGCUGCUGCUACACUAAUCGCAGCAUGCAGCACGUAUACUUGAAAACACAGUAUGCAAAGUCUGACCCUGCCAGAUAUCUGCUCUGGCCUGAGAGCUGCCAUGCCCUGGUCUCUGUUGACAGAGGUCCCUGGCACAUGUCCCCAUGAGGUGGUGACACCGCUGGUGCCUCCGCGUGCUGCCAGAGGAAUCCCAACUUCCCAACAGGUUUCUGUCGCCGUGGAAUUAGAGCAGCACAAAUGGAAUGUCAUACAAGAUGGUGUCAAAAGCUUUAUGAAAAUCCCUGUAUAUGGCAUCUUCCCUGUGACAUCGAGAGGAUUCUUGAAGACAACUGCUGAACGCUCUGGAUCUGCGGGUUCAGGAGCCCUCCAUGAUCAACCCCGGCUAAUCUAAAAAAUAACCCGUCUAAGGACUUUCUAAUCUGUUCCCUCUUUCCGUCAUUUUGCUGAAGAUUUCACACUUCUGUCGCUGGGGCUCGCGGGAGGAGCUCCCUUUUUAGUAAAGGCAGAAAAGCAAAAGGAGCGUCGUGCUUGUGCCUGUCACCUCCCAGCACCAGUUCUGCGUGGUGGAGCACUGGACCACCUCUCACCUUCGCCCUCUGCUUGCUGACAGAGCAGCUCUCGGUGCCUCCCCAUCCUCUCAGGCUUUAUAUCCUUUGGAGCCUGGACCCGCAGACUUUGUCCCCAAUUCCUCGAGCUUUUAACCAUCCAUCCCAAGUAACCUGAAGUGUUUUUUUUUUCUUUUCACUUCUGCCCCAUGUUUGAAACCAGUCAGUUUGUGGUUUUGAAAAGGUGAUCUUUUAAUUAAUUUUGACUGCUUCUUCUUCAUCAGAACAGUCUGCAUUUGUUGCUGUUGUUUCUCUAAGUAGCCACAAGUUCUUUUUAGCAAUCUGCAUAGAUUUGCCUUCCCUCUGCUCAACCUCACUGAUUCUACCAGUUUAUGAAGCAGCUGUUUUUGUCUUGUUAUCCUUCCCUUUUGGCCAGAAGCAAAUCUAGACAGCUUUAGCUUUUUUGUUUGUCUGUUUUACCUUUCGGGUAAGAACUGCUCUACCAAUGCAGUCAUAAAAUUUGCCAAGCAAUCAAUGAUUUACAGGAUCCCUGUCAAGCAAUUCUGAGUAGCUAAAAUCCCUCGCUACCACCACGUACCAUCUUUCAGAUGAUUUUGCAAACCACUCAUUAAAAUGGCUGUUCUGUUUUCUCUUCCUAGUUAUAUGCCUCUGCUCUAGCAGCACCCAUUUUUCCUUCUUUAAUUCUUAUUCAGAGCCUAUUUCCUCCUGCAGUCUUAGAGAAUGUACCUAUGCUCUUGAUAUCCUCCUUUUUCUCCUUGUUCGCCCUUCCUGAACAAGCUAUACAGUUGGAUAUUAAUAUUCCAGACAUAAGUUAUCCCAACAAGCCCCUGUUACGCCAAUUAAAUCAGAAUUUUGCUUUGUGUGAAGAAUUCGAGCUCCUCCUGUUUGUUCUGUUUCUAAUGUUUGUGUAUACAGAUUUCUAAGACAUUAAACACGUUGUCCACUAUU